rnacentral:tRNA from 1 species
CUCCCUGUAGCUCAACAGUAGAGCGUAUGGCUGUAGACCAUAAGGUUCUGGGUUCAAAUCCCAGCAGGGAGA